UCACAAACCAUCAGAGGACUCACACUG
rnacentral:piRNA from 1 species